GUUUCUGCUAGGAAGGAGUAGAGUAGACUUUGUUUUAAAAUUAAUUUUGUUUCUAAUUUUCAUCUGAAUGAAGACUUUCAGAAGGAUGGGCUCAGCACAAACUAGGUAAACACUGAAAAAGUGCCUUCCUGUAAAGCCAAUCUGUAGAGACAGGAAACAUGGUGACGCAUCCCCAGGAUUUCCACAUGCAGAAGACGAGCGUGGUCUCCGACCUCCCAGCACAAGACUACAAUAGCACAGAAUGGAAAGACAAGCCAGGCACAAGACCGAAGACCAUAACAUCUCACAGGAAUAUGAACUGAAAACAUGUGUAACCUUGAAUUAGAAAUGGAUUCCCACAUACUGCUUCAAAAGUUUGGGAAACAAUGCAAAACAAAACAAAAA